rnacentral:rRNA from 1 species
UGACCUGAGGACGGGGAUAAACCCGGGAAACUGGGUAUAAUACCCGAUGGGCCUUGGAUGCUGGAAUGCGCCAAGGCCGAAAGCUCCGGCGCCUCAGGAUGGGUCUGCGGCCUAUCAGGGUAGUAGUGGGUGUAAUGUACCUACUAGCCUACGACGGGUACGGGUUGUGAGAGCAAGAGCCCGGAGAUGGAUUCUGAGACACGAAUCCAGGCCCUACGGGGUGCAGCAGGCGCGAAAACUUUACAAUGCUGGCAACAGCGAUAAGGGGACCUCGAGUGCCAGGAUACAAUCUUGGCUGUCGUGAUGCCUAAAAAGCAUUACAUAGCAAGGGCCGGGCAAGACCGGUGCCAGCCGCCGCGGUAACACCGGCGGCUCGAGUGGUAACCGCUAUUAUUGGGUCUAAAGGGUCCGUAGCCGGCCGAUCUAAGUCUCUUGGGAAAUCUGGCAGCUCAACUGUCAGGCUUUCAGGGGAUACUGGUCGGCUCGAGACCGGGAGAGGUGAGAGGUACUUCAGGGGUAGGGGUGAAAUCUUGUAAUCCUUGAAGGACCACCAGUGGCGAAGGCGUCUCACCAGAACGGAUCUGACGGCAAGGGACGAAAGCUAGGGGCACGAACCGGAUUAGAUACCCGGGUAGUCCUAGCCGUAAACGAUACUCGUUAGGUGUCAGCCACGGUGCGACCGUGGUUGGUGCCGUAGGGAAGCCGUGAAGCGAGCCACCUGGGAAGUACGGCCGCAAGGCUGAAAC